GCAAGUCGAGCGCGCCCUUCGGGGUGAGCGGCGGACGGGUGAGUAACGCGUGGGAACACACCCUUCUCUAAGGAAUAGCCUCUGGAAACGAUGAGUAAUACCGUAUACGCCCUUCGGGGGAAAGAUUUAUCGGAUUUGGAUCGGCCCGCGUUAGAUUAGAUAGUUGGUGGGGUAAUGGCCUACCAAGUCUACGAUCUAUAGCUGGUUUUAGAGGAUGAUC
rnacentral:rRNA from 1 species